rnacentral:rRNA from 1 species
AUGGCCUCCAUCAAGAUCAACCUCGCCGUGGACAGGUCCCGGAACCGCGUGCUGUUCGCCGACGCGGGCUCCGACUUCGUCGAUGUCCUCCUCACCUUCCUCACACUGCCGCUCUCCGCCGUCCAGUCCUGCUUGGCAGGCGCGACAUCGCCAGGAUGCCUCUCCAACCUCUGCGCCAGCGUCGACCGCCUCAGGGACCUCAGGCUGCUCAAGGUUGAGGCCUGUCAUGGCAUGCUUCUCAUGCCCACUCACACCGACGAGUUCGACCAAGCAGGCAGCACAGAGACGUUUGUAAGCCGCAAAGAACGGUUUGUUAUCAGUGAUGCCAUGACGAUCAAACCGGCAUCCACCAGCAGCCUGCAGUCGCUGCCUCAAGCGUUCGGUUCCGAUGGGAUCGCCCAUGGCUUUGAGGAGGUCCAAGUGAGCGUCAGCUGGGAGACUGUUUUAUUCAUGUUCAACGCCUCCCUUUCUUCAGAUACAGUACUUAUUGAUGCAUACUACCAAAGGAAACUGACUCAUCAGGCUGCUGGUGCUUCUGUGAAACAGAUCAUCUUCAAUCAGAAAACGCUACCGUCCGAUCAAUACUCCGCAGGCUCUGCACCAGAAAGCAAGAUAAAGAUCUUCUAUCACACCGACGAAAAGAAGGUCAUGUAUGCAGAAUGCAACCAUGACUUCGCCAACCUGCUCCUCGGUUUCCUGGCUUACCCUAUCAGCUCUGUUAUCAAGAACACAGGGGCUAGCACUCCCCAUCUUGGCAGGUGCCUCAACAAUCUCUAUAAAAGUGUUACCGAUCUCGACGAGGCUGGGUGCUUAACAGGUGCUCUCACCAGACCGUUCGAUGCUUUGAGCAACCUCGUGUGUCGGGCGCUAGAUUGCCAGUGUCGGAAGGACACGAUGCCAGAGUUAGCAUGUUUUUGCUGCCAUCCUGAGCUUGUUGAAGAUGGAAGGUACGUCGUAGGCGAUGAUCUACUUAUACAUCAGGCAUCUGCCAUGUCUCUGAUGAAGCAUUGGUGCGGGAGAAACAAGGAUAUGGUACUGGAGAUGGACAUUUCCAUCAGGAAGCCCGAGGUAGUUGCGCUGCUGCGAGCUGUGUUUACUUCUAAGACGGUGCUCACCGACAUAUUCAUCGACAGGCUGGAGGAAUAUUUCUCCCAGAAGAAGAUACAGAUAUUCUCUAGGAUCCCCAGGGGCAAGACGAUAACCGUGGAGGUUGCGCGAGCAGACACCAUUGCCACUGUCAAGAGCAGGAUCAAGGAUAAGGUGUUCAUUCCAGCAGGUUGUCGUCAUGAGUUGGUCUAUGGUAGCAGAUAUCUGAAAGACGCAUGCACCGUUGCCGAAUGCAACCUCGUCAGAGAAUGUACCGUCACCUGCGAAUUAUACAAGAAGUGA